rnacentral:rRNA from 1 species
UACAGAGGGUGCGAGCGUUAAUCGGAAUUACUGGGCGUAAAGCGUGUGUAGACGGUAGCGUAAGUCAGAUGUGAAAGCCCCGGGCUCAACCUGGGAAUUGCAUUUGAGACUGCUCUGCUCGGGUGCGGAAGAGGGAAGCGGAAUUUCCGGUGUAGCGGUGAAAUGCGUAGAUAUCGGAAGGAACACCAGUGGCGAAAGCGGCUUCCUGGUCCGACACCGACGUUCAGGCACGAAAGCGUGGGGAGCAAACAGG